rnacentral:rRNA from 1 species
CCUUUUGUAUAAUGGGUCAGCGACUUAUAUUCUGUAGCAAGGUUAACCGAAUAGGGGAGCCGAAGGGAAACCGAGUCUUAACUGGGCGUUAAGUUGCAGGGUAUAGACCCGAAACCCGGUGAUCUAGCCAUGGGCAGGUUGAAGGUUGGGUAACACUAACUGGAGGACCGAACCGACUAAUGUUGAAAAAUUAGCGGAUGACUUGUGGCUGGGGGUGAAAGGCCAAUCAAACCGGGAGAUAGCUGGUUCUCCCCGAAAGCUAUUUAGGUAGCGCCUCGUGAAUUCAUCUCCGGGGGUAGAGCACUGUUUCGGCAAGGGGGUCAUCCCGACUUACCAACCCGAUGCAAACUGCGAAUACCGGAGAAUGUUAUCACGGGAGACACACGGCGGGUGCUAACGUCCGUCGUGAAGAGGGAAACAACCCAGACCGCCAGCUAAGGUCCCAAAGUCAUGGUUAAGUGGGAAACGAUGUGGGAAGGCCCAGACAGCCAGGAUGUUGGCUUAGAAGCAGCCAUCAUUUAAAGAAAGCGUAAUAGCUCACUGGUCGAGUCGGCCUGCGCGGAAGAUGUAACGGGGCUAAACCAUGCACCGAAGCUGCGGCAGCGACGCUGAUGCGUUGUUGGGUAGGGGAGCGUUCUGUAAGCCUGCGAAGGUGUGCUGUGAGGCAUGCUGGAGGUAUCAGAAGUGCGAAUGCUGACAUAAGUAACGAUAAAGCGGGUGAAAAGCCCGCUCGCCGGAAGACCAAGGGUUCCUGUCCAACGUUAAUCGGGGCAGGGUGAGUCGACCCCUAAGGCGAGGCCGAAAGGCGUAGUCGAUGGGAAACAGGUUAAUAUUCCUGUACUUGGUGUUACUGCGAAGGGGGGACGGAGAAGGCUAUGUUGGCCGGGCGACGGUUGUCCCGGUUUAAGCGUGUAGGCUGGUUUUCCAGGCAAAUCCGGAAAAUCAAGGCUGAGGCGUGAUGACGAGGCACUACGGUGCUGAAGCAACAAAUGCCCUGCUUCCAGGAAAAGCCUCUAAGCAUCAGGUAACAUCAAAUCGUACCCCAAACCGACACAGGUGGUCAGGUAGAGAAUACCAAGGCGCUUGAGAGAACUCGGGUGAAGGAACUAGGCAAAAUGGUGCCGUAACUUCGGGAGAAGGCACGCUGAUAUGUAGGUGAAGUCCCUCGCGG